rnacentral:rRNA from 1 species
AUUGAACGCUGGCGGCAGGCUUAACACAUGCAAGUCGAGCGGGGUGAUGGUGCUUGCACUAUCACUUAGCGGCGGACGGGUGAGUAAUGCUUAGGAAUCUGCCUAUUAGGGGGGGACAACAUCUCGAAAGGGAUGCUAAUACCGCAUACGUCCUACGGGAGAAAGCAGGGGAUCACUUGUGACCUUGCGCUAAUAGAUGAGCCUAAGUCGGAUUAGCUAGUUGGGGGGGUAAAGGCCUACCAAGGCGACGAUCUGUAGCGGGUCUGAGAGGAUGGGCCGCCACACUGGGACGUAGAAAAGGCCCAGACUCCUACGGGAGGCAGCAGUGGGGAAUAUUGGACAAUGGGGGGAACCCUGAUCCAGCCAUGCCGGGUGUGUGAAGAAGGCUUUAUGGUUGUAAAGCACUUUAAGCGAGGAGGAGGCUCUUUUGGUUAAUACCCAAGAUGAGUGGACGUUACUCGCAGAAUAAGCACUGGCUAACUCUGUGCCAGCAGCCGCCGUAA